AACGAACGCUGGCAGCAUGCCUAACACAUGCAAGUCGAACGAUACCUUCGGGUCUAGUGGCGCACGGUUGCGUAACGCGUGGGAACCUGCCCUUAGGUUCGUAAUAACUCCCCGAAUGGGGUGCUAAUACCGGAUAAUGUCUUCUGACCAAAGAUUUAUCGCCUUUGGAUGGGCCCGCGUUGGAUUAGCUAGUUGGUAGUGUAAAAGCCUACCAAGGCUACGAUCCAUAGCUGGUCUGAGAGGAUGAUCAGCCAUACUGGGACUGCGACACGUCCCAGAAUCCGACGGGAGGCAGCAGUGGGGAACAUGGGACAAGGGGAGAAAGCCGGAGGCAGCACGGCCGCGAGAGUGAUGUAGGCCUUAGGGUUGUAAAGCUCUUUUACCCGGGAUGAUACUGACAGCACAGCCCGGAUAAGAGCCGGCCAACUCCGU
rnacentral:rRNA from 1 species